rnacentral:rRNA from 1 species
AGUCAAUAGAUACCCGGGUAGUCCACGCCGUAAACGAUGAGUACUAGGUGUAGGAGGUAUCGACUCCUUCUGUGCCGCAGUUAAACACAAUAAGUACUCCGCCUGGGAAGUACGGUCGCAAGAUUAAAACUCAAAGGAAUUGACGGGGGCCCGGCACAAGCAGCGGAGCAUGUGGUUUAAUUACGAAGCAACGCGAAGAACCUUACCUAGACUUGACAUCUCCUGAAUAGUGUAGAGAUACAUGAAGCCCUUCGGGUCGAGAAGACAGGUGGUGCAUGUUGUCGUCAGCUCGUGUCGUGAGAUGUUGGG